rnacentral:miRNA from 1 species
CAACAAUCACAAAUCUCCAU